rnacentral:rRNA from 1 species
AGUGAACGCUGGCGGUAGGCCUAACACAUGCAAGUCGAACGGCAGCACAGUAAGAGCUUGCUCUUACGGGUGGCGAGUGGCGGACGGGUGAGGAAUACAUCGGAAUCUACUUUUUCGUGGGGGAUAACGUAGGGAAACUUACGCUAAUACCGCAUACGACCUACGGGUGAAAGCAGGGGAUCUUCGGACCUUGCGCGAUUGAAUGAGCCGAUGUCGGAUUAGCUAGUUGGCGGGGUAAAGGCCCACCAAGGCGACGAUCCGUAGCUGGUCUGAGAGGAUGAUCAGCCACACUGGAACUGAGACACGGUCCAGACUCCUACGGGAGGCAGCAGUGGGGAAUAUUGGACAAUGGGCGCAAGCCUGAUCCAGCAAUACCGCGUGGGUGAAGAAGGCCUUCGGGUGGUAAAGCCCUUUUGUUGGGAAAGAAAAGCAGCAGGUUAAUACCCCGCUGUUCUGACGGUACCCAAAGAAUAAGCACCGGCUAACUUCGUG